UGAAGCGCAACUCGAAAGCGGACGAGCUAUCCUCUGGUCCGAGUUGCAUUUGAUCUAUUCGCUUAACGAAAUUACGAUUUCCAUUAUAUAUACAUAUAUAUAUAUAUAUAUAUGCGUGCGUGUGUGUGUGUAUGUGUGUGUACACUAUUUCGAAUUAUCAUAGAUUUUUCUCAAUGGAAUCGUAAAGAGACGCGUAAGGUAUUCGUUCUGCCGCAUCUGCCAGCACCGGCUUCUUCGCCGACUUCGUUUCCACGCACGGAAACACAUAAUUGAAAGGCGAGGAGAGCCUCGUAAAUAACUGCGCUAAUUAUUUCUAGCCCCGCCAAUUUCCUGCCUCCUCCUUGCACUCCCUCGUUCUUCCCCCUUCCCCUUUCCUUCCUUUCUCCCUCCUUCUCCUCUUCCUCCUCCACUUCUUCCUUCCCUUCCUACAGUUCUUCCUUUCUAUUUCUCUCUGUCUCUCUUUCUCUUUCUCUCUCUCUCUCUCUCUCUCUCUCUCUCUCUCUCUCUUAUUCUGAACACUGUUUCCUUCCAACCUGACUUUCCUCGUUUACCCAAGAAAUUUACGCCAGUAAGACGAACUCUACAUCAACGUAUUUAUUAUUUUUACUGAAGAAAAAAUAAAAAAAAAUAAAAAUAAGAAAUAAAAGAAAGAGAGAAAAAAAAUUGGAGGAUUCUGAUAAUAAAAUAUUUGUGAUUUGUUGCCGAUUUCGGAGCGACUUUAUUUUCGAGGUUAAUGAAAGGACCUUGACUGAUUUCACGAGCGUACGCGCACGCACGAGUAUCGCAAAACUUCUCGAGGGGAGAACUCGCGAAAGAAAAGGGAGAAAAAAAAAUAUAGAGGAAGACUGUGCGCAGAAAGAACAGUCACGCUUCCGCGGAUCAUCCUCCGAGCCAGGACGAAUCUUAUAUCUCAAAGUUUGAAGAAUUCAACUUUGGAAGAAUCGGGUCUUUUAAAAAUCAUAGAUUAAAAGAGAGAGAGAGAGAGAGAGAGAGAGAGAGAGAGAGAGAGAGAGAGAGAGAGAGAGAGAGAGAGAGAGAAAGAAAGAGAGAGAGAAAGAGAGAGAGAGAGAGAGAGAAAGAGAAAAAGGUUCGUAUCUCUUUCGGCAAGGAUUCUUAUCGUCGAGAGGGAACCGCUUCCAGAUUUUAACCAGCUCUACGGUGGAACCCGGGUACAUUUUCUCUUCAGCCAGUAUUUGGGCCAAGUGUUCUCCCUCGUCUGGGCUGUAAAUGAGGCCCUAUUCCACCGGCGCCGUCACUUGACUUACUUGGCUAAAAGGAAAGAGAAAAAGAAACGCCUAGUAGAGAAGAGCGCAUCGUGGAAAAUGAGAGAAAUUAUGGGUGGUACGCCUGCUCCUCCUCCAUCUCUAGCAGCAGCCACCAAAAAAAGCUCAGUCGAGAAAGAUUUCAAGUACGUCGAGCACGUCACUCGUACAAUGCCCUAGGAUUAGAAUUUUCUAACCGAGUAACUCGUUAUUUCGUUGGUAAAUGUAGCAGCUUUUUUCAUUCCUCGGUCAAUCCUUUAAACGUCGUCGAAAAGUGAGAUACCCCAAAGACCAAAACUUUGCUAUUUCGUCCGCAAACUCGUUCGCAUCUCGAACGAGGUACCCUGCCAGUUUUAAGCCGACAAAAACUCUCUCAACCGUAUUUGGGACAAGUACUGUACCCGUCUGGCUUGAAAAUGAGGCCCUGUCUACUGCUGCCGCCAUCACUUGACUUACUUGGAUAAAAGAGAAAAAAGGGACGGAAAUAGCAAAACGGAGGUAGGCGAAAUGGAAAAGAAGGGAAGUGGAAAGGAACGACGGCGAAUGAACUCGUCGCUUUGAUCGAGAAUACGAGGGAGUUGAAAGAAGAAGUUAACUGCGACUGUUCUCAAGAAAAUCGUCAUUGCAAAAAAUUAACGCAUCCAAUUUAUUCGUCCAACUGUGUUCGAGAGAACGAGAAUUUAGCGAAAGAGGGGAGAGAGAGAGAGAGAAAACGGCCUAUGCGGAAAACCACUUGUUCCUUGGCAGAUAGCUUCGUGUCAAGGAACGGCAUAGAGCAGUCCGACGUCGACACUGAGGCCAAAACCGCCAACGACAACUCGACGACGAUGAUACAUCCAUCUGGAUCGUCUAGACCACUUAUAUGCUAUAACAUAUCAUUGUCGCGGCCGCUCAUUAUAAUCUAUGCCGUGACACAGUCGGCGCUCGGUCGAAUCACGAUGAGAAAACGGACCAGACUCGUUCUAUUUGAGACGAGACGAGUUUCCUGCGAAAACAUAAUCCAUGUUUCGAAUAGAAUUACGUUGAAACUUUAAUCUACUCUUCGCUCGUCUAAAAAGCUGACGAAGGAGAUUAAAAUAUAGGAGACUAAAAUUUUCCGUCUCGGUGAAGGUAUAACGCUAACGAGAUAUAUCCUAGCUUAUAUAUUUAUACGGAUCGACCGAGAAUAAGAGAGUUUGCCGAUUUUAUAUAAUAAAAAUGUACAUAUGAUAUAUCUCUCUCUUGAACAAACGACUUGAUCCAUCGUGAGAGACAAUAAUGUUUUCUUUUGGAACGAAAGAAUACCGAGAACGUCUGGGUUACGUCAAUCGAUCGAUAGUGCAAGAAUUGGAAGAGAACGACUAGGUAGAAUAUCAAGAGAGGAGGAUAGAAAGAGACGACGAAACCGUCGUCGUUUCAAACUUUCAUACGAAACGGCGACCGAUGUUAACCGUCUGGGAGAGAAACUAUUCUCGUUCCUUCCAGGUGUCGCGACCCAGAUCUCUACGAUCUUACCGCAAAAUAAGUUUUAUCCGAGUAAGCUUUGAAAGUUCCAUCUUCUAAGAAAAUAGGCAAAUAGGGCAAAACGUUUCGAUGGGAGACAAUACAUCGUGACGAUUACCGAUUAACGCCCGCCAACCGGCAGUCGCCAGCUACGAACACGUCGCGACGUCUACACACUCGACAUCUACUUCACUAUCAUCGUUUAACUUUGGACGAGCACUCUUGAUGCGUGCGCGUAUUCGAAUGCGUACGCUCAUCAUUCGUCGCCUCCGUCAAUUCAUCGCUCUAUCUAUUUAUCAUGUCGACCUUGAUGAAGUUCUUCCUUCCUUUUUAUACUUUCUUUAAAUGUUAAAAACUUAACGUCGAACAUUUGUCGAACUUUUUACGAAACUUGUCGAGAACAACAGGAAGAAAAAGAUCAGAUGUCUUUUUUUAAUUAAAGUUUGCUAUUCGGAAAUAUAGGAAAUGUCUAAAACUGAAAAAAACACGAGCGCAAAAGUGUGGUCGGUCAUCUUUGAUGCAGGACGUGCGGAAAUUCCUGGAUCGAGAAAGCAGACUCUCCCAUUCUCUUUCUCUUUCUCUCUCUCUCUCUCUCUCUCUCUCUCUCUCUCUCUCUCUCUUUCUCUCUCGCUCAGUUUCAUUUGUUCUCCGAUAGACAUUGGGACUUGGACAGACAAAACGGUGCCGGCAGACGUACAAUAACAUAUUGGGAAUUCGCAGGUUCUUCUUCCGGAGGAAGAGGAGAAGGAGCAGGAGGACGGUGGUAGUGUGCCAGACGGUCUGUGCCAGUUCGAAAGUUUGUCCCGGUUUGCCCGUCUGGCAUUACCGGAGAUGAGGGUGUAGGAGAUGGUAGUACGUGAACACCGCUACUGCGGUCGUAGUAGUCGUUGUCGUCGCACCUUGACAGGUUGAAUGUGGGCUUCCAUGCGCGGAGACAGCAUAUUGGGUUCGAAACUUUGCUCGUUUACAACGCCGCCGGUGUGUCCGCCGUCGCCUCCGGUCGCUACCAAGAGCCGUCGUAGCUUUCUGAAAUAAACGUCACAGACUUCUCUUUGCUUCUACUCUGUCUCUCUCUCUCUCUUUCUCUCGGCAUUUCCAACGGCAACUCCAAUUCUACGUUCUGUUUUUAUCCCUUACGUCGUGUCUCACCUCUUCAGGACAGGCUUUCACCCUAUGAAUUCACCCAAAAAAUUCGAUUCUCUGAACGGUACCUCCCUGAUGUUUUUCGAAACGAGGAAAAAUAAUAACCGUUAUCUAUCCAUGUGAAAAAAAUUCCUUUUGUAGAGAAUUAGAAGGUGGGAGGGAGAUACGAAGGGAAGAGCCAAGCCAAUAAACAAAGCUACUAUCGAGAGAUCCUCACGAGAUUAACGCGAACGAAAGGCGAGACUGAAAUCUAUUUCGGAGAGAAGGAGAAAAGGGAUCUUCUGCUCGCUUAGUCCCUUGUCGUCGUGUUUGCAGAGAAUUAAUUAGUGUUUAGCUGUCUAUAGAGUGUAGAGUCCGUAGACUAAACUAGACAUACACAUAGGUAGAAUGCGGCGAGAUCGUCUGCGCGCAGACGAGGCUUUCCAAGAGAGAAUAGACAGGGAACAUGCGGCAUGGAAGAUCGAGUAAAGGGAGAGAGUACAAGGGAAUACAGAGAGACAGAGACAGAGAGAGAGAGAGAGAGAGAAAGAGAGAGAGAGAGAGAGAGAGAGAGAGAAAGAGAAUAUAUAUGAGAGAGAUGAAGAUAGACAGGUACAGGAGGCAUAGACGUAUCGGAGACGUCAGGGGAGCGGUCCAUAUACUUCCUGAGGAGAGCACGCGUGUUACCACCAUGUUCGUGCGAUAAUCCUGUGAUGGAUGUCCCUAGAUGCUCGUCGGUGAAGCCUCGAGCGUCCUGCGCGCGCUAACGUCGAUCCACUCGCGUCGCAUUAAUGUGUGUACGUUUGCGUGCGUGUUUACCCAGACGGAAGCCGUCUGGCGGUGAUAGGCCAACCUAGAUGACGUAUUGUACUCGCCGUGUCUAUUCGUUCGUUGCCGCUUCAUCGGAAUAGCUAAAACUCGAGAAUCCGUGCGUCAGUCCGAGCGGAAACCUCUUGCGGCCGCGUCAUAACGUAUCAUAGGGAUCGAAGAGGAUUCGGACGAUACGAAAAAUCCGCGCAACGAUAGAAUGCUCUCUAGUACAGGAAAUCAUCGAAUUGACUUGACCGCAUAUUUCUCUCUCUUACUCUUUCUUUCUCUUUCUCUCUCUCUCUCUCUCUCUCUCUCUCUCUUUCUCUCUUGUUAUUUUUCGUCCUGUUGCAUCCUCUUUGCUUGCCUUGUUAAGAUUUACUUCUACGAGCUUAAAACGAACUGAACUAACUCAAUUUUUAAAAAAUCCUUUCAUUAUCAAAAAGUCGGACUUAAAACCUAAUCUUCAGAUUUUAAAGAUUAUCAACUUCAUUCCUUUUGACUGUUAUAUUCUAAAUUCUAGAAUCCACAUAAGUGGAUGGUCAGGGAUUCUAAUGAGCCAAUCAAAGAAAUAAAAGAUACUCUUCCGGGAAAAGCGAAGAAGAUAGGGUUAACGCAUAUUUGAUUAUCUAUAUCGGCGGAUCGUUUAAUUAAUUUGGCCUGUCUCGACGUACGUUCGACCACAUUCGGUGCGUCAUGUACUGCUGGCGCGUUGUAAUUAAUAGAUCUCUCUCUCUCUCUCUCUCUCUCUCUCUCUCUCUCUCUCUCUCUCUCUCUCUCUCUCUCUCUCUCUCUCUCUCUCUCUCUCUCUCUCCCUCUCGUAUUAACCUCACCACCCGUCCUAUUCCCUCUCUCAUUGUACAUAUUUGUGUGUCCGGGCGAUUGUUCGCGCAACGUGCGCUAUGCGGAUCGUGUACGCACAUCUCGUCUAGACCGAUCGACCGGCUUGCUCCUACUCCUGGAUCGUAUAUUCCUAGUUAGCUAACGUUAUGUGUAGCCGAUGGUACACGUACAUGGCGGCGGACGAACAUACGAUCAUACAAACAUACGAACAGACGAACGAACGAACGAGCAGACGGACGGAUGGACGGACAGAUAGACGGACGUUAAACCGAGACGCGGUUAUGCGUGCACGUGUGCACUUACCCUCUUGUGUGCAUAACAUUAUGCGUCCGCGUUCUGUCUGACCACCUCUAACCACCGAACCUAUGUAUCACAACAUCACCAUUAAUUUUCUUCCACCUCUUUGUCCCUACAAUUGAAGGAAUAAAGAUACUUUUUUGUUUUGUCGACUUUUUAUGCAUUAAUCUCGGUAUUAAGCGAUAAGGAAGAUUAAACACAUUUUUACGGUGACGUUAUUUAUUGCUAUUAGUAUCUCUAAAAGGAAAUAAUCUAUAUGGAAAAUUGAUCCAAUGAAAUCCGGUUGUAAUCAAGCUAAUCUAAUGAAUCUACACCUAACAUGUUCUUUAAUAAAUGUUAAUAUGUUUGACAUGUCUCUUUCUCAAUUUCUCUGUUUUUCCGUUUCUCCAUCUCUCUCUCUCUUUUUUUCUUUCUCUCUCUCUCUCUCCCUUUCUCCCUCCCUCCCUUUGUCUUCGAGGAAAAAGAUUGAAAUAAGGAUAACGAAAGGGAGAGAAAUGACACGGUAAUCUUGUAUCCACGUUUAAUCAGUGAAUCAUCGUCUAGAUGUUAGAGACGCUUGUGUUGGAUUUAUUUGUGACUGUGGAUUCCCACCUGUUGCCUCCCGCACCCCUUUCGAAUAGCUUGACUAGGACGACCUCUCUCUCUCUCUCUCUCUCUCUCUCUCUCUCUCCCUCUCUCUCUCUCUCUCUCUCUUACUCUCUUACUCUCUUCCUCCUUCUUCAUUAAAUACCAAUAUCCUUUUACAUUCUUUACUUCCGUAUAUCUAUCAAAAAAAUCAAAUUACUCUAUCCUAGACUAAAAUGAUCUUCGAAAAAUACGAUAAACGGAAUUUAUCGAUCGAUCUUAUGUAUAUAAAUGUAAUCUUUUAAAAAAUAAAAUAAAAUAAUAUCAUUCGCGUAUAAUCUUUUAUAAAAGUUUUUAAAUGGCCGUCUCACUUUUUCGUGAGACUGUCGCAAGCAUAGCGAUUUUUAAAAGAAGACAAUAACUCGGUCUCAGAUGAGGAAAGAGAAACGGAGAGAUGCUAGAGAGAAAGGUGGAAAGAAAUAGAUCUUCCUCUAGCAUCCUUGUGUAUUCGUAACUAUACUCGAAUUCUUAACUAUCCUUUUCUCUCUCUCUCUCUCUCUCUCUCUCUCUCUCUCUCUCUCUCUCUUACGACAUUACAUAAUAUCGAGACGACCUUGCAUUUCGUCGUAGCGCCCGCGGCAGGGCUUUCCAGGGAUGCAUAGUCUUUGACUUCCGUCGCGUCCUUCAAACCUUUCCUCUUUUCAGCCCUUCCGGGACUCUUUUCUCUUUUUCCUCUUCUCCCUUUUUCUUUCUUUCUUUCUUCCUUUCUUGCUCUCGCCAAAAAAAGGGAAGAACAGUCUCCAAUGGAAGGUGAGAAGGACCGAAGAAGAAGGUAAUGCUGGAUAUGCCAGCAACAGGUACGGCCAAGAAAUAAAGUCGCCUUGUCAAGAUCAGACUUUUCUCCUCCUUCUCUAUUCCUUCUUUUUUUUCAUUCUUACUAAUCCUUACUCUUUUAUUAUCAUUUUUCCUUUCACACAUACGCUUAUCUAAUCGUAACGUCAUUAAUUUCAUUUCCAUAUAUUCGCAAUAAUUUUCAAUCGCGAUGUUUCCAAAGAACGAAACGUCCAAAGAAAGAAAAGAAAGAAAAGAAAGAAAAGAAAGAAAAAAAAGAAAAAAAAUGACUUCUAUUUAUAUUAUAUCUUCUAUAUUAAAUUAAAUAAUU